rnacentral:misc_RNA from 1 species
GUGGGAGGGGGCUUGCCCCCGAUUGCAGUGUGUCAGUCAGCACGUCUGAUUCUGAUACAUCGCUAUCGGGGGCAAGCCCCCUCCCAC